GGGGACCCAAACACUAUUCCCACUCCAUCUCAGAAUGUCACAAGAGUGAGAAAAGCGGUCUGAGCCCAGAGCCAGGAAGCCCCCCCCUCGUUCGUCAGGGAUGCAGGAGUAGUAGUUUUCUCUUGUUUUAUUGGUUUGUAUCCCCUGUACACACUGACAGGGGGUCUCAUUCCAGGCUCUCGCACACUUCAAAUGGACCAUGAGGAACAGCGCCUCGCACUUCACACUGAGUGCGCUGGAGACCCCGUGGGAUGAAAUCCACGCUGCUGGUCUUAUUUUUGCAAAGAUGAGGGGAGUCAGCCUAGAGUGACACGAUUCUGCUCAAGUCAUGGAGGGGGUUUCAGCCGUACGGGUCGUCCAUUUCCUUUCAAGGCUUGGGGUCUGAGGUGGGACCAUGAGAAGAAAAGAGAGGAGAAGAAGGUGGAAAGAGAAAUCACCACAGGUCAGCAGGUUCCAACACAGACUGAUGACCAGAAGCUCUCCAGGACUCCUCUGGUACUCCAGCAGCAGACUGAAACUGCUGAGACUACAAUUUUAUGGACUGAAGAACUCCUGGAUCUGUGGUUUUUCCCUUGGAAGACAGCCAUUGCUGAACUACGUGGACCACAGCCUGUAAGCCAUUCUUCUAAAUCACAUGCCUAAAAACCCUCAGACACACACACACACAUACAGACACACACACAUAAACACACACAUACAUAUAGACACACACAAACAUACACACAGAAAUAUACACACUAACACACACAGACACACAUACACACAGACACACAGACAUGCAUACACACAGACACACACAUACACACACACACAUACUCACACACAAACACACAUACAAACAGACACGCAGAUAGACCCACAGACACACACACACACACACACACACACACACACACACACACACACACACAUACACACAGUCUAUCUUACUGGACACGUUUACAUUUCACAGUCUGUUUGCCCUGUCCACUCAUUCUCAACUUGUCCCUUUAUAUUUAAGCGCAUGUCUCAGGCUUGAGAUUAAGCCUCAGUGAAGAGCACUGCUUGUUCUCAUAGAGAAUCUAGGUUCAUUACCCCCGUGAUUAUUCACAACCAUCCCUAACUAUAGUCCCAGAAGAUCUAGUGCCCUCCUCUGGUGUCUGUGAUCACUGCACAUGUGCGGUGCCCAUACGCAUCUCCAGGUCGAACAGGCAUGCACAAAAUCUUUUUUAAAAAUUAAAAUUCAGGGGUUGGGGAUUUAGCUCAGUGGUAGAGCGCUUGCCUAGCAAGUGCAAGGCCCUGGGUUCGGUCCCCAGCUCCGAAAAAAAGAAAAAAGAAAAAAAUUAAAAUUCAAACAAAGUGCUUUCUCAUGAGUAACACAGGCUGGAUCUAACCUGUGCUAAUGCCACCCCCACCCCUUUGGCAGAUUCCAUCGACUGAUAUUUGGUGCCAUUCCCAGUGAGGCUGAUUUUGGUCACUAUUAUAUUACUUGUUCUCUCCUCUGCCCUUCCCUUUUCUAGGUUUUGCUGAACACAUUACAGAGCUCCACUCCCUCUGAGCCCCUAUAAACAUCCCUCACACCCCUAUAAACAUCCCUCGCACCCCUAUAAACAUCCCUCGCACCCCUAUAAACAUCCCUCACACCCCUAUAAACAUCCCUCGCACCCCUAUAAACAUCCCUCACACUUUGCACUGAGCCGCAAAAGGUAUAUCUUUGACUUUUUACUUAAGAGCGUACCUGCUGCAGCCAGGCGGUGGUGGUGCACACCUUUAAUCCGGGCACUUGGGAGGCAGAGGCAGGCGAAUCUCUGUGAGUUCAAGGCCAACCUGGUCUACAGAGUGAGUUCCAUGUUCAGGAUAGCCAAAGCUACACAGAGAGGCUCUGUCUAGUAAAACGAACAAAACAACAAAAAGAUUGUGCUAACAAACAAAUCCUUAAUUUCUCUCUCAGUUUUUUUCAAGUCAGGGUCUCCAAGCCAACUUCAAACUAGAGAUUCCCCUGCCUCAGCCUCCUUGAGUACAAGAAUCACAGGGGUGUGGCACCACACCCAGCCACACCUCUGUUCUUUAUGCUGUUCUUUUAAGUAUUAUAUCUAUCUAUAUUAUAUAUACCAAAAGGCAAGGUUACACUUUUUGCUUUCAAAGGUCAUGCGAACUUCUCAAAAAAAAAUCAAGAUGUAAAAAUAAUUUCUUGUGCUUACCCGUAGAGAAGUUUUAACCCAGCAACAUGGCUGCUCUAGCAAGGGAACACAUUCAAAGACCUUCUAGGUCUGUGUUAUCCGGCUUGAAUCCAGACGCAUCUUUAAUUCCAGGAGACAGAGUCAAGCAGAUCUCUGAGUUCAAGGCCAGCCUGGUAUAGAGCAAGCUUCGGGUAAAGGAAAACUUAGGUCCAAGCAUGGUGGUAAAUGCCUUUAAUCCCAGUUCUCAGGAGACAGAGGCGCACAGAGCUCUGAGUUCCAGUCAGUCAGCUCUGUUAAUUCAGUUGAGUGCAGUGACUGGAGUCCUCAGUUUGGAGUCAACAAAGUGGAGUUGAAUUAGUGACUUCCUGCAGGUCAGCAGAGACAGCUGAAGCCAGAGAAUGAGAAAGAACCAGAAGAUUAGAAAAGAUUUCUAGAGCUAGUUAGAAGCCAAGCAGAGCAGUUCAGAGGCCGAGAGAAAAGCCAGACUGAGUAAGUCAGCCUGGAGAGGAGUUUGAGCCGGAACAGCAAGAGCUAAAAAGGGUGAGCUUAUUCAGCUGCAAGCCUCCGUGACAAGUUAUAUCCAGUAAUAAAGGUUGCAUUUAUGGCAUGCACAUACAUCUUUUUUUGUGAGGCUUGAAGUGAGUCUUAACUACCAGGAGACCCCCAAGUGAGAUACAAGAACUGAGUUCGAUGCAAAUGCAAGAUGUUUAUUUUUCCAGCACGUCGGGAUCAACCUUCAAUCAUCCUCUUGUGGCGAGUGACUAGAAGGCAACCCCAAGUGGCUAUAACAAGUAGUUUUUAUACUUUUUAGGGGUACAGGUUACAUCAGCAAGGUUACAGUUUAAACUUAUUAGCUGAACAUAUUGACCUUUGAAUCUAUUGGCUAGCAAGCAUAUGGCAUGCACUCAAACUCUAUCUGGGACCAGAGGGUCAGGUGAUUAUGUCAGUACAUUCUGCAGUUUUCCAAGAAUGUCUCUGCUCCUCCCGAGAACUGUGGGAGGAGAAUGGAACUUGGCCUAGCCCUGACUGGAGGCAGGAAGCUGGUACUUAGCUUAAUCUUGAUGUGAGGCGGUGGGUGUAAGGCUGUGAAAGCCACUAGGGUUCUUCACAGGAACCCCAUAACUUUCCUACUUUCUACCAGGCCUAGCUUUUUAAUGUCUCAUACACUUCAGUAAGUACUAGGACCCUUCAUUUUCAGCCUGAAAAGGUCAUUUGGCACUUCUUUUCUUCUUAAAAAGUAUUUAUUUGUAAAUUUUAUUUUGUUUUGAGAAACAAUUUGAGAAAUGGUCUUUCUGCAUGGCUGUCCUGGAACUCCCUACCUAGACCAGGCUGUCCUCAGAUUCACAGAGAUCCACCCACCCGCCUCUACCUCCUGAGUGACAGGACUAAAGGUGUGCGUCGCCACAUCUGUCUAGAAUUUGUGUUUAUUAUCAUUAUAUUGAAAAGCUCUCAGGGAGAACUUUCCCUCGGGAUGGAGAUCCUCUAACUCCAAAGACCAGACCGAGACACCACAGGAUGCAAUCAGCAAGAGGAUUUGGUUUAUUGUCGGGAUACACAGGCACAGGCACCUGCGGGCGCUUCAGUCACUCGGGGGACUGGCGCGCCCCACGGAACCAAGGAUGGGCUUUUAUAGGAUUUUGGGGAGCAGAAGCAAGCAUACAGAAGCAGAUGCAUGGUUACAGGGAUAUAAUUGGUGGAUUCUAAUGUGGCAAGGGUUCAGCCUGGGUGCAAGUUUCCUAGCUACCUUCCUGAAACAUAAGGACUGACUCGGCCCCCCAAGGGUUCAGCCCGGGGGCAAGUUUCUUAGCUACCUUUCUGGAACAUAACGGCUGACUCGGCCCCCCCACCAGGGUGUGGGACCUCUCCCGGGGCUUUUCUCAUUGUCAGGUGCUCAACUGCAGUCGUCCUGUUGCCAGGCCUUCAACCAAACACAUCUUGUUUGGCAGCCGCUGUGUACUCAGUGUUCUAACCUUUCUCUGAACCAGUCAUCUUAAGUACAGCCUUGCAAAAUGGCGUUACUGCUGCUAAGCUGGGGUCUUUCAUUCCCCCAUUUUUUUUUUUUUGCUAACUUUGAGUGAAAUCUUUCACUCGACUUGGUCAAGAAAUUUCUGUCUGGUGGGGGCUUAUUCCCCCACUGACUCUAGGCCACAAAAGGGCUAGGAGGAGCCACGUAGGAGUUUUAAUUUUAAGGGGUUUGGAGUGCGCUGAACUCUCCAUGUCUGGGGUGUAGUGUUGUGAUUAGUCAAUUCCUCAGACCGGACUGCCUUGACGUGUGGUGCGUGGAUCUAAGCCGAGACUCCGUCUACCUUUAGGGCGGUCGGGGUAGUCAGGAGGACGGUGUAGGGUCCUUUCCACCGUGGCUCGAGAUUCUUGGUCUGGUGUCUGCGCACCCACACGGUGUCUCCAAUCUGGAACGGGUGUGGCACCACCGGAUGCUCAAGCUUGUCCUGGUAAGCAGCGGCCAAAGGUCUCCAGACGUCUCUCUGUACAAUCUGUAGGGCCUGUAAAUGGGCCCUCAGAGAAGGGCUGUCAGCAAAAUCAGCAAUGUUUGAAUCAAAGAAAUGGACAAAUGGGGGUGGUGUUCUAUAUAUUAUUUCAAAAGGAGUUAGACCAUGGGGGCCCGGGGUAUUCCAGGCCCAAUAUAGAACUAGGGGAAGGAGGGCCACCCAAUCCUUUGAGCCAGUUGCAAGCGUAAGUUUGGAUAAAGUCUCCUUAAUUGUUCUAUUUAUAUGUUCUACCUGACCUGAACUCUGGGGUCUAUAGGCACAAUGUAAUUUCCAAUCAAUCCCC